AUUGAACGCUGGCGGCAUGCCUUACACAUGCAAGUCGAACGGCAGCAUGGAAGAGCUUGCUCUUCUGAUGGCGAGUGGCGAACGGGUGAGUAAAGCAUCGGAACGUACCGUGUAGUGGGGGAUAACGUAGCGAAAGUUACGCUAAUACCGCAUACGCACUGAGGUGGAAAGCAGGGGAUCGCAAGACCUUGCGCUAUACGAGCGGCCGAUGUCAGAUUAGCUAGUUGGUAGGGUAAAGGCCUACCAAGGCGACGAUCUGUAGCGGGUCUGAGAGGAUGAUCCGCCACACUGGGACUGAGACACGGCCCAGACUCCUACGGGAGUCAGCAGUGGGGAAUUUUGGACAAUGGGGGAAACCCUGAUCCAGCCAUGCCGCGUGAGUGAAGAAGGCCUUCGGGUUGUAAAGCUCUUUCGGCUGGGAAGAAAUCGCACAGGCUAAUACUCUGUGUGGAUGACGGUACCAGCACAAGAAGCACCGGCUAACUACGUGCCAGCAGCCGCCGUAAGAC
rnacentral:rRNA from 1 species